CCUACGGGAGGCAGCAGUGAGGAAUAUUGGUCAAUGGACGAGAGUCUGAACCAGCCAAGUAGCGUGAAGGAUGACUGCCCUAUGGGUUGUAAACCUCUUUUAUAUGGGAAUAAAACAGGGUAUGCAUACCCUCAUGUAUGUACCAUAUGAAUAAGGAUCGGCUAACUCCGUGCCAGCAGCCGCGGUAAUACGGAGGAUCCGAGCGUUAUCCGGAUUUAUUGGGUUUAAAGGGAGCGUAGGUGGAUUGUUAAGUCAGUUGUGAAAGGUUGGGGCUCAACCGUAGGAGUGCAGUUGAAACUGGCAGUCUGGAGUACAGUAGAGGUAGGCGGAAUGCGUGGUGUAGCGGUGAAAUGCUUAGAUAUCAGGAAGAACUCCGAUUGCGAAGGCAGCUGACUGGACUGCAACUGACGCUGAGGCUCGAAAGUGUGGGUAUCAAACAGGAUUAGAUACCCGAGUAGUC
rnacentral:rRNA from 1 species